UGCUGCCCGUCGUGGCGGUGGGGCGCGAGGAGCGGCGGGAGCUCGCCGUGCCGCGGCGAGGAGCUUCCAUCUUCCAUUCUUACUGAUCUUGCUUUGUUCUGAUCUGAUGAUCCUCAUUUACGUGACGGGCACAGCUGAAGAUUUGGCAUCUAAGUAGAUAGGGCUUUCCUAGGUGUCUUUCUGAAGCCCUGUAGCAUACCAAGAAGAACCUGUGCGUGCUCUGCACAAACUGCAGUGUUUACUUUAUGGUCUAGAGACAUCUGAAGAGCCAGAUUGUCAGUGCAGUAUAUGUGAAGGCAAGUGGGGUCUGUGAAGAGAGAAUAUGGCUGCGAAUUAAGUGUGGAAGAAAGAACCGCGGGAACGAUGAGGAAAUGCCCACUGUUUUGACCUCAGUGAAUUCUGGAGGUCGGAGCUCCCUGAGGGGAUGGAAAAGGUCAUGUAGGAUGCACACCUGAGCUGAUUCUGAUGUCUUCUGCUCUCCUUCAGUCCACACAGUGUCAUUAGAAAACAGCGUUACUGGAACCUGCAGGCCAAUGGAUGAACAGGACAAUGACUUUAAAGAGUUGUGGGCAAAUCUUUUGGGUAAAGGGAAGAAAAAAUCUGGGGAUACUGAGGCAGCAAAGAGGGCUCAGAAAAGAUCAAAGAAUACUGCAGCAAAAAGCAGAGUAAGAAGAGGCAAAGCUGCUGCUAAGAGCCAAAACCAUCACCUCUUUCCAUCUGCAAAGCAAAAAAGCUUGCUUCAGGAUUUGGGUCCUAGGAUACAAACACUGGGGCACAAAGCAGACAGUGACACUGCGGCCUGCAAUAGUGGUGACACUUCAGAAGGGGAUGGAAGCAGAAGCCCUUUCCCUGCCAGCCAGCUGAGUUCCACAGCCAGUGACUGUAGCCAGGGGACUCUGACAGUAAAUAGUCGGAGUGGUUGCUCCCAAACAACGUUAUCUUUCCAUCCUGCGACACAGCCAGGGACCUGUUCCUCACCCACCUCAAAGAUUCCACCUCUCACAGGCGCCAAGGUGCGGGUGGCAGAGCUGGUAGUGGAGAGAAUGCAGCAGUUCAAGAGAGUGGCACCUGAUCAGCUAAAACACAGCACAGAUUGUAGCUUGCCAAAGUCCUUAACCAGCGGAGAUUUUGCUGGUGAAAGCCAAGAGCAGAACUCAGCAGAGAAUGAUCUCUGUGAUCUUCAGUGCAUGCAGCAUGACGGUGCUCUGGCUUUGGCCCUUCAGCAGGAAACACAGAAGGAUUCCCUGGAAAGCCUGGAGGAUGCAGGUUUGUUCUUCUGUCAGAUCUGCCAGAAGGAUCUCUCAGCUAUGAACUCAACGCGACGAGAGCAGCAUGUUAACAGGUGUCUGGAUGAGAUGGAAGAAGCACAGACGUCAUCCUCCAGCAAAUCAGCAGUCCCUGAAUGUCCCAUCUGUGGGAAGCAAUUCCAAACCCCCCAAAGCCGAGUCAGUCACUUGAAACGCUGUGCUGUUGAGAUGGAUGUUCCUCCUCAGAUGCUUCUUCAGGCAGUGCAGAUGCAGGUGUCCACGCUUGGUGAGGCACCUCUUCAAUUUCCCAGCAAUCAACCAAGCAGGUCAAAGCGAAAAGUCUCCUCCAAAGAGGACUCAAAGAACAAGCAGAAGAGGGCAAAAAUGGAGACUAAGGAUGAAGAUUUGCUGGUUGCUAUGGCGAUGUCACGCUCUCUGUUGGAGCAAGAAAAGCAGGAACAAGCAAAAUCAGUUACAAAUGUGAAACCAGUGGCUGCUUUGCCAAUCAGAUGGAAGCCAGGAUCAGAAAAAAGGCGACGUAGAAGAGGCCCAACUACCCCUCCUCCAUUACUGCUGCAGGAUCCAGCGAAGGUGCGCAGAAGGAUAGAAGAGAGGCUAGCUGUGCUGCUUGCACAAGAGGUGGAAUUCCCUCCCACUCCUCAGCUUCCCACCAGCAGGAUUUUGGAGGUUGAAUCUGGGAAAGCAGCCUGGCUCUUGCCAUUGCCCAAAAACAGGGACUGCUUUUUGUGGAAUUUCAGUGCUCUGACAGGACCCUGUGACCCUGAAUCCUUCUAUGCUGCUGGGUUAACCCCUCCGAUUGAACCUUGGAAGCCUGUGCAGAAUCAUAAACCAGAGGAUGCUCUGCCAUCAGCAGGAUCUGAUCAGCCAAAAGUAUCUCAGCAAAUUCAGCCUGACUUUGGUUCUCAUGAGUCUACUUGCAGAGAGAUUAGAGACCAAACCUGUGAUGAAUUCAAGUCAAGCCCUGAAGGAGGUGGGCAGAUUUUAUCUCACAGCCAGAAGGAUAUUCAGAACCUGCAGGAUCUAGUUGAAUUGGCUGGGGAAGGACUUACCCUUACGCAGUGGAACCUUGAUGUUGGCCAUACUCGUGCAGCAGAGCAGGCAGGAAAAGAGCUGAGUUCCAGUGAUAUUCCAUGUACUGGUUUUGUCCCUUUACUUGAAGAGAAGAGAUUCCUGACACGCAGCUGUAAGAAAUCCUCCCUGAGGUCGCUGGCUGCAGAUUUCAGUGCAAUGGUCAACAACCCCCACCUAAGUGAUGUCCAGUUCCAGGUGGACUCUGGGGAAAUCCUUUAUGCCCACAUGUUUGUGCUGUAUGCACGGUGUCCGCAGGCCAUUCAGACUGUUCACAGUGAAGGGUUCUUAGUGGAGGAGGAUGGCAACGCGCAGAUGCGCCGUGUGCUACUGAGUGAUGUGACAGGAGAGGCAGCCCGUGCUUUCCUGCGGUACCUGUAUGCUGCUGAUGCUGACAUCCCUGCUGAGGUGCUGCCCCAGGUGGGGGCUCUGGCUGCCAGGUUUGGUGUGAGGGAGCUGAUGGCAAACUGUGAAAAUAACACUGGAGAGAGUCAGAUGUCUUCUGGAGUGGAUUCAGAAUGUGAUCUGAUCUCCGUGACAGAUGACAAAGAUUGUGAGGACAGAGCAGAGAACUUCCAAGACCUUUUGAAGUCUAUGUGGGUGGGUGAAGAUGAGGAAGAAGUAGCUGACCUCAACCAGGAAUGCCAGAAGGAGGAUGACAAUGCGGUGGGUGAACAGGAGCUGGAAGAAAUCUAUGAGUUUGCUGCAACUCAGAGAAGGAUGAUUCAAGGUAAAACAACACCGAGUGAAGGAACUGACUGCAGCGUGUGCAGUGACACUGAGGCAGCCCAAGAGAUGAACCAGCAAACUGAGGAGGAAGAGGUGAAGAGAUCUGUAUCUUCUUCAGUAAGCAGUAACUUCAAGGAUUUGAGGGAUAACAGUGAUGUGGAAACAUCUACAUGUGACUUAUCUGCAGAAAAAGAGAGAAUGCAGAAUAUAAAUAGAUACAGAAGCGUGAAUGCUACACAGAUCACUUCUGUGCCUCACCACAGAGAACCUCAAAAGAGGGAUGCAGCAUCCCGUGGUGCCACCACUGAUGAAGGAGAGACUGCAAGGAGAUGCGAAGGUGGAAAGGACUCCAGGUCAUCUCAGGCCUCACACGAUGUAAAAGGGGAAGAUCACUGUGAAAAAGAGUUUCUUAGCUUUGCCAUUGAUACUAAUAUCAAUGACAGUUACGAACACUUAUUUUCUGCAACUCAGGGAGAUUACUGUGAGCCUUCCCCAACAAAAGCAGUUAGUAAAGUAUCAGAAGAAGCUCCUGGUGAAAAACACGUUGAUGUCAAUGAUUUUCAUCUGCACAGCAAAACACAGAAAGACUUUUCUCCAUGUAAAAAUGGUUCUUACAGGAGUCCUCCUUCCAAAGCUUUUGUGCCUCUUUUUCCUGCUGUUGGAUCUUCACCUCUGUCUCCAAAAUCAGACAGAAAGCUUGCGAGCGAACAUAUGUCAACACCAAAUCAAACAAAAAAAUCAUUCCCACCUGAUGAAAUUCUUUUUCAGAAGGCCAAUGAGCUGGAGACUGCAUCUCCACCAGAGCUUCCCAACACUGAUUUAAACAAGCAUGUCCCAGUGUUGUCAGCACCAGUUAUCAGAACUCAGGAUCCUGCAGCUCAGGGGAGCAAGAAGGGUGAUGUCAUUGUUUUAUCUUCUGAUGAUGAAAUGGAGUUAGAAGACAAGAAGUCACCAGAGUCAGGCUCUGUUCUGAAGAAAGUGGAAAGCCCUGAGCAACUGAAAUGUACAAAUAGAGGACGUGGUCCUGAAGGACCAAAACCUGAACACAACACAUCAGUCGCUGAAACAGAGCAGAGAUCACUGCAGAUCUCACACCUCGUUACAGAUAAGGCGCACGUAAGUGAUGAUGUGAAGAUGUCCACUGAGUUGCCUCCCAGCAGCCACGCAGAUCCUUGUACAGAGGGUGAGCAGAGCCCAAACCUGAGCCCAGAGAAAAUGCUCAGUCACGAAGUGUCUUCAGGUACUGACAGCUCCUGGCUGGUGCCUGACACACCAGUUCUGACCAAAAGCAGAAGUUCCUCAACACAGACCCACAUCACAAGUAGUAACUCUUCCAGGAGUCCAGAAUCUAAAGUCAGCACAAAAAGCCUAACAGCUGAUAGUAGUAACCGUGAAGUGGACAGAAAUGUAAGAGAAGUUCAUCAAGCAGCAUUGUCAGACAAACAUUUGCCUGUGGAGAACUGUGUCAGUGAAAGAAAUCCUUCCAGCAGCCCAGAAGCAGGGUCAGUUUUUGAGAAAUCUACGCCGCUUUCUUCAGUGGAUCCAGUUCUCGCCCUUGCUCACACCAGCUCACAAAGCAAAUGUGCUAAUACCUCAUUUUUGUCCAAAUCUGUGCCUCCAUGCCAUGGGAAGUCAAUGGAAGAUAAAUCAAACGUCAGCGUGGUUGAGAUACAGGACAGUGAGGGGGAGAAGGAAAUAAGUAUGGUGUCUUUGAGCAGUAGUGUCUUGCUUGCUGAUGAGCCUGCAAUUCCUGCUGAUGACUGCUGGCACAGUAAGUAUCUGUCACCAGUCAGAGCUAACAGCCAGGACUCCAGACAGAAUGGCCAUGCAAACACCAGCGCUGCCAGCAGCCCCCAAACUGACCUUGUGCGUGAGCAGUGGGAGAGCCCAGACCAAGCAUGGGAAAUUAAGGGCAGUACUCCUCUUCAAGGAGCUCCUGUUGGCAGAAGAACAACUUUGCUCCGUCUUGAAAAGAGUCCCAUUGAGGCAUGUACACCACGGGGCAGCAGAGCAAGUUACCUGAACUCCAAACUCUGGGAUGAGUGGGAUGGAGAAGAGGAGGAAGAUGAAUUUCCAGAGGUGCUUCCUCUGUCACAGAGGGUAUCAGCAGCAGCAGGUGCAGAUCCUAUAAAGACUCCUGAACCUGUGUGUCAAGAGAACAGCAAUUCUCCCAGCACUCCAGUGACACCAAUGCCAUCUUACUCCAUGAUGGAGACACCACAGCUGAAGGAGGAGUUGAAAAGAUUUGGCGUUCGUGCUCUCCCAAAACGCCAGAUGGUGUUGAAACUGAAAGAGAUAUUCCAGUAUACUCACCGGGAUGGGGACUCUGACUUUGAGGAUGAAGUCCACUCCUCCCAGCCUCCCCAGAAGUCCCCUGCCAAACGCUGUAGGCAGUCAAAGGCAGCUCAGACUACAGGUGGAAAGAGUCCCAAAGCCUCGAAGGCUGUGAGCAAAAGGAAGCAGGUUGCAACAGGUUCUUCAGUGCUCCCUGUAGGAAGGAGAGAGUAUGACCUUGUCGGACCCUCUAAAAAAGGCUGUGCAGCACCCAAGCAGAGAAAUGAAAUGAUACAUCAUCCAGAAGGAAACAGAGAGCAGAACAGGUCAGCUGCAUCUCCAGAAGGAUGGUCUCUGGGAGCUGAUGGUGAGGAACCAAUGCUCUCUGCAUCUCAGAAGUCUGCAGUUUCUUCGGGGGAUGGAAGUGACGUCUCCUUCAGUUCACAGAGUUCUUUUGUGAAGGAAUUGGAGGCCUAUGCAUUUGCAUCUGAAGAGGAGGAAGAAGAACUUCCAGCAUCCCAGGCAGCAGCUCGGGAAGAAGAGAAACUGGAGGCAGUGAGGUGCUACAUCCGCUCAAACCCAACCCUGUACGACAGGAUUCUCUUCUAUGAGCCUAUUGAGCUGGCUGACCUGCACGCAGAAUUGAAACUGAAUGGCAUUAAGAUUUCCAAGGCAAAGCUGCUGGACUUCUUAGAUGCUCAGUGCAUCACCUUUACCACAGCUGGAGCCCGGAAAGAGAAGGAACAGAAGAGAAAGGGGAGCAAAAAAAAGAGGAAACGAUACUGAAUGGAUCCCACUCCUCUAUCCUGAAAAUUUCCUUCACAGAGGCCUUCCUCCUAAGGUGGAAACCCUGUUCCAGGCUGCUCCUGGUGGAGCUGGUGUGAUCGGUGGGUGCACUGCUCCUCCUUGUGGCCUGCUGUCCAGAUGACACGCUGGAAAACGGAUCUGAACUGAGCUCCUGCUCUCAAGCUUUCCUCUGAGCUGCACAAAAUCCUCUUUCGGGAGCCUUUUUAUGUGCCCUGAUUUUCAUCCUGUGCAUUCUCUUGUCUUUCCAUUUUAGUAGUUUUAGAUCCCCAGCUUCUCUUCUUGUUGGUGCUUCUGAGAUGGCUGCUUCCUCCAGUGGUACUUGCCACGGUCCUUGCCCUGGCCUUGGCCUGAACCCUUUUUGUUCCAAUAUUGAAUGGAAUAACCCAUGUGUGUUUUGUAAGUGGCUGCAAAACAGUGCAGGUGUUUUUGUGGUCUGUUUGUGGUGGCUGCAUCACCAGAUGUCACGUAGAAGCCACUGAGGUUUGAACAUUCAGUUGUGUGCAUUCACUUUGCUGAGAUUGGUGCUAAAGACAUUACAGCUCCAUUUUCUGAGUACUGUUUCACCCUGUCAUUGUAGCUUGACUAUGUGACAUUUUAAAAAAAGACAGUGUUACAGUGACCAAUGGAUCUCUCAAGCAAUUCUCACACCCUGAUCUAAAGCCUCUUUGUGGAUCUGUCUUGUCAUUUCCAAACUGGACCAAUAUUUGGUUGGAAACUGUCUGGGACUCUUGGGGAAGUCUUGGACACUAAAUAGUCAUUUUAUUUAUUAACUUCUACCACACCUUUGGAUUUUUCUCUGUUCUGGCAGGUCUGAGUCUGCAGAGUCUCACUCACCAAAGUAGACACAAUAAUUAAAAAGAAAAAGCUUGAUUUCUGAAUGUAUUUAUGUAUUUGGAACAUGCUUUUUUAUUUUAUUAUUUGAUACAGCACUGCCUUGGUUUUAUUUGAUUUCUAUACAAUAAACAAUUUGGAAGGAAAUAAUGCUAAGCUAUAAGCAAUGUCUUCUGAGGGACUUUUAGGGAUGGUUCUAAGCAGAAACACUGGGUCUGGUUGAGAGCAGGAGGAGCUGUGCACUCUGUGCCUGUGCUGAUCAAAACCUGAGCAAAAAAACUGGAGGAGGAGCAUUUGUGCCAGGUGCCCUGCAGCACGGAGAGGUGGACUGGGAGAGAUCAGCCUGCACUGAUGGAUGGUGGAUUGGUGACCUGGAGGGAGACGAGCUGCACAGGGCGUCAGGAACGCGUGCUCCAAAGGUGUUGCUGUGGCAUGUGUGAUGGCAUAGGGACCUUCAAGCAACACUUUCUGCCAUCUCUUGUGACUUGUCAGGAAUUUGGGGCAGUUUUCUUCCUGGCAGUCACAUCACUUUUGCUCCCUCAUCUUCUUGUGCAAGAGUGCUGUGUGAUGACUUUAUUAGAUAAAAAGACCCAGGCUUGCCUUAAAGAGGCAAACUAGGAAAUGUUGCCCUCAAUGUACCUUGUGUUUCUCCCAACAGAUACUUAAUAUUCAGAAAAAGCUGAUACAGGAAUACAGGAAAAUAAAUGUGAUUCCUUCCCA